GGAAGUUGGGAUCCUGAAGACGGCUCAGCCCCCUGUGGUUGAGAAGGUGGUGGGGCUUGUUCGUGAGAAACGUGUGGCUGCAUCCCUGGAUGUCUGAGGACUGGUGGUGACACCCGUGCCCUGUCCCCCUCCAGCGGCAUGAGGAGAUGAUCAUCCCUGGAAGAACCCCCUGAUUUCCCUCAGAGCCCAGGGCCAUUUCCCCUGAAUGAUCAAUAAAUCCCUUCAGCAAA